CUUGCCCACAAACAAAUCGAACGAAGAAUACGGUGAUAGCAGCCUAAUGGCGCUCCUUACCUACGGACAAGUCGAGCAAAGCGAACAAACUCCAAGUCAUCCGAACUGAAGACCUUGAUGACUAAGAAGCAGGGGUUAACCUACAAAGCUUCCCAAAGACCCCUCGCUUUUCAACAAGCAGAGCUAAGAAAGGCCGAAGUGACUAAAUUCAUGUAGAGGUAUGCACCCCCAUGUAUUUGGCAGCUUCGACUUGAUAUACUUCCUUCGUCCGAACUAACUCUAGCUCAAACUCGAAAAUAAGGGACUUAUAUUGAGAGUAAUUUCAUACUAAACAAAAAUACGAGGCAUACGAAAAUACAAAGGUACCUCAAACUCAGCCAGCUUCUUCUGAUUUGCUUAUUUCGUAUAACUUCCGAUCUAAAGUCUGAUAAGGGCUCAACCGUCUCUCUAAUCCCGAUCAAAAAAACACUUGAGCUGAUCUUAUUCGAUCAAAUAGAAAAGAUUAACUUUCAACCUCCACACAGAUCUUCAAAUUUCGUUACCACCAAAAAUAAAUGAUGACAAGAUAAAACUGAAUAAACAACAAACAAAUCUUUUCAAAUAAGAAAAAAAUAACUAUCGAAUCUCAUCAAUUAAAAUAAAACUAAAAAUCUUUAUCGAAUCUCAUCCAUAAAUAAAGACCCACAGGCAUGAAAAUGAAACCUCUUUUCUUUCCACACGUUCACUUCCUAUUUAUGCUAAAGAUUUGAUUUGUAUCAAAAAAUCUCCAUCGAAGCCGGUCGAAGAUUUUCCUUGCAGAUCCUACUGCCACCAUCCAACCAUCGCAAUCCUACAAUCGACGUUGAGCUCCAACCAACCCAACCUCGAAACAGAUUUUUGAUGAAUUCCUGCCAUAACAGAACCUAUACUUCAAAUUAAAGAUGUGUCAUAAUUUAUGUUACUUACGGAUGAUAUAAUAUUGAUUGGUAAGAAAAAAUUAAUUAUAAUAUUAAAAUUAUGGAGGAAUGUUUUAAAGGAUAAGGAUUAAAAAUCAAUAGAACAAAAGUAAAUAUACCAAAUGCAAAUUUAAUGAGACAGAAAUGAAUACUUAAUGCUAAUUAAGAUUAAUGAACUAAACAUACUACAUGAAACAAAUUAAAUAUAGUCAAAAUGAGAAUGUUAACAUGGAUAAAUGAUAAAACUAAGAAGGAUACAUUGAAAAGUCAAUAUAUUAGAUAAACUACAAAAGUUGAAGAAAUUAAAGACAAAAGUAAUGAAAUUUGAUUAAGAUAGUAAUUAGCAUAUAUAACAAAGAUUCUAGGUAGCUCGUAUAAAAAAAAAUAAUUUAGUCUAUAUUGAAGAUUAUAUAGAACGAGAAAAUUAUAAAUUAUUAUGAUGGAGGUUAUGAACUAAGAUAUGGAUAAACUUGGAAAGCCAUUAGACAUGACCUUAAAUAGAGAUACUUGGCAAAUGAAAAUCUAUAAAACCAAUCCCAAAUGAUGAUAUCCUAGAGGAUCUUGCAAAGACACAAGAACAAUGGGGAUCAACAGAAUCAAGAAAGCGCAAAGAAAUUUUGAAGGGGUCCAGUUCAUACCUAUUAUUUAUUAUCAUUAAUACCCCUCCAAUAGGUCCUCCAUUCACAAUCCAAAGCAUUAUGGUGGACCUAGACGACCCUACAAUAAUUGGAAUAUGACAAAGCUCAUGAAAAAUAAAUAAAUAUAACUAAGAAUUGGG
rnacentral:lncRNA from 1 species